UACGGGGGGAGCAAGCGUUGUUCGGAUUUACUGGGCGUAAAGGGCGCGUAGGCGGCCACCGCAAGUCGACUGUGAAAUCUCCGGGCUUAACUCGGAACGGUCAGCCGAUACUGCGGGGCUAGAGUGCAGAAGGGGCAACUGGAAUUCUCGGUGUAGCGGUGAAAUGCGCAGAUAUCAGGAAGAACACCAAUGGCGAAAGCAGCUUUCUGGGACGGUACUGACGCUGAGACGCGAAAGCGUGGGGAGCGAACAGG
rnacentral:rRNA from 1 species